UGUUUUACUAAUUGUUCGACUAAUCAUUAGUCACACUAGUAGCUACUGUAUACGUUUCUAAUUAUAUGUAAUUUAAAGGUUUUUUU
rnacentral:sRNA from 1 species